rnacentral:rRNA from 1 species
GAUGAACGCUGGCGGCGUGCCUAAUACAUGCAAGUCGAGCGAACAGAUGAGGAGCUUGCUCCUCUGACGUUAGCGGCGGACGGGUGAGUAACACGUGGAUAACCUACCUAUAAGACUGGGAUAACUACGGGAAACCGGAGCUAAUACCGGAUAAUAUAUUGAACCGCAUGGUUCAAUAGUGAAAGACGGUUUUGCUGUCACUUAUAGAUGGAUCCGCGCCGCAUUAGCUAGUUGGUAAGGUAACGGCUUACCAAGGCAACGAUGCGUAGCCGACCUGAGAGGGUGAUCGGACACACUGGAACUGAGACACGGUCCAGACUCCUACGGGAGGCAGCAGUAGGGAAUCUUCCGCAAUGGGCGAAAGCCUGACGGAGCAACGCCGCGUGAGUGAUGAAGGUCUUCGGAUCGUAAAACUCUGUUAUUAGGGAAGAACAAAUGUGUAAGUAACUAUGCACGUCUUGACGGUACCUAAUCAGAAAGCCACGGCUAACUACGUG